rnacentral:tRNA from 1 species
GGAGUGGUAGCUCAAUUGGUUAGAGCAUCUGCCUGUCACGCAGAAGGCUGCGGGUUCGAGUCCCGUCCAUUCCG